rnacentral:rRNA from 1 species
GAUGAACGCUGACAGAAUGCUUAACACAUGCAAGUCAACUUGAAUUUGGGUUUUUAACUUAGAUUUGGGUGGCGGACGGGUGAGUAACGCGUAAAGAACUUGCCUCACAGUUAGGGACAACAUUUAGAAAUGAAUGCUAAUACCUGAUAUUAUGGUUAUAGGGCAUCCUAUAAUUAUGAAAGCUAUAAGCACUGUGAGAGAGCUUUGCGUCCCAUUAGCUAGUUGGAGAGGUAACGGCUCACCAAGGCGAUGAUGGGUAGCCGGCCUGAGAGGGUGAACGGCCACAAGGGGACUGAGACACGGCCCUUACUCCUACGGGAGGCAGCAGUGGGGAAUAUUGGACAAUGGACCGAGAGUCUGAUCCAGCAAUUCUGUGUGCACGAUGAAGUUUUUCGGAAUGUAAAGUGCUUUCAGUUGGAAAAAAAAAAGACGGUACC